AUUGAACGCUGGCGGCAGGCCUAACACAUGCAAGUCGAGCGGAUGAAGGGAGCUUGCUCCUGGAUUCAGCGGCGGACGGGUGAGUAAUGCCUAGGAAUCUGCCUGGGAGUGGGGGAUAACGUCCGGAAACGGGCGCUAAUACCGCAUACGUCCUGAGGGAGAAAGUGGGGGUUCUGGGACCACACGGUAACAGGAGAGUCUAGGGCGGAUUAGCUAGUUGGUGGGGUAAAGGCCUACCAAGGCGACGAUCCGUAACUGGUCUGAGAGGAUGAUCAGUCACACUGGAACUGAGACACGGUCCAGACUCCUACGGGAGGCAGCAGUGGGGAAUAUUGGACAAUGGGCGAAAGCCUGAUCCAGCCAUGCCGCGUGUGUGAAGAAGGUCUUCGGAUUGUAAAGCACUUUAAGUUGGGAGGAAGGGCAGUAAGUUAAUACCUUGCUGUUUUGACGUUACCAACAGAAUAAGCACCGGCUAACUUCGUG
rnacentral:rRNA from 1 species